GUGCUAUAGGAUAGAACAGUGUCCCACACAAUUUAAUCCAUCUGUUUCACUUUGUCAGCAGUCUCAAUUGGUUUCUCGCUGAUCAUUUUAUGAUGGGAAAUAA